ACACUGUCACUUUUUCAAGAGAGGAGAUAUUCGUGGUUUUGAGCAAUGGAGAGACGCUGGAGAAUAAUAUACUCAUUAUAUGGAAAAGGAAUACAGAGUUCCAUGCAGUCAUCUCAAAAUAUUUCCCUCCCACACCUGUGUUUAUAUAGGGACAUGAUAAGAGACCCCGAAACUGACUGUUUCAUCUUGUUGCACCUGGGAGAGUGCCUCUGCUGGGAUACUUUGAGUGUACAGUCACAUGUGGAGGUAGUGUAUUAGCUAAAUUCAUACUAACAUGUAAUCGAUUGAUAUAGCAUCCAGAGAAGCAUUCUGUGGCAAGGAAGUUUCAUGGGGCCAUCUUGAGAAAACUGAGCCCCUGAAAUAAGCAGAGGCUGGAGCAAGAGGAGGGAAAUGUGUCGACAGAGAUGGAGGGAAGAGCUUGUGGUAAAAAGGAAACUGAGGUGUAGACCAUUUCCACAACAGUCAAGUCCAUGUUGCAAGAUGACCGAUUACAAGGACCAGAUUCCAGGUCUCUCACUUCUCACCUCCCUUCUUAAAAUACCCAGCCUCACCUUCCGUAAACCGUUUGUCCAAAACAGCUCCUUGUCCCAAGGACCAAGUUUGACCAAAUCCUCUCCUAUUUAAGUAGAAGCAGAAAAGCACCAGCCCGAUGCCAACCUGUCUUCUUCAGCAGCAUUUCGGGCAAAUCCAUUUGCACAGUGAGUGGCGUUUCUUGUUUUGAUGUCUACUUAGCCCCCAAA
rnacentral:lncRNA from 1 species